rnacentral:rRNA from 1 species
UGGGGAAUUUUGGACAAUGGGGGAAACCCUGAUCCAGCCAUCCCGCGUGUGCGAUGAAGGCCUUCGGGUUGUUAAGCACUUUUGGCAGGAAAGAAACGUCAUGGGUUAAUACCCCGUGAAACUGACGGUACCUGCAGAAUAAGCACCGGCUAACUACGUGCCAGCAGCCGCGGUAAUACGUAGGGUGCAAGCGUUAAUCGGAAUUACUGGGCGUAAAGCGUGCGCAGGCGGUUCGGAAAGAAAGAUGUGAAAUCCCAGAGCUCAACUUUGGAACUGCAUUUUUAACUACCGGGCUAGAGUGUGUCAGAGGGAGGUGGAAUUCCGCGUGUAGCAGUGAAAUGCGUAGAUAUGCGGAGGAACACCGAUGGCGAAGGCAGCCUCCUGGGAUAACACUGACGCUCAUGCACGAAAGCGUGGGGAGCAAACAGG